rnacentral:rRNA from 1 species
GACGAACGCUGGCGGCGUGCCUAAUACAUCCAAGUAGAACGCACAGUUUAUACCUUAGUUUGCUACACAAUAAACGGUGAGUUGCGAACGGGUGAGUAACCCGUAGGUAACCUGCCUGGUAGCGGGGGAUAACUAUUGGAAACGAUAGCUAAUACCGCAUAAUAUUGUUUAUUGCAUGAUAAUUGAUUGAAAGAUGCUAUUGCAUCACUACAAGAUGAACCUGCGUUGUAUUAGCUAGUAGGUGAGGUAACGGCUCACCUAGGCGACGAUACAUAGCCGACCUGAGAGGGUGAUCGGCCACACUGGGACUGAGACACGGCCCAGACUCCUACGGGAGGCAGCAGUAGGGAAUCUUCGGCAAUGGACGAAAGUCUGACCGAGCAACGCCGCGUGAGUGAAGAAGGGUUUCGGAUCGUAAAGCUCUGUUGUAAGAGAAGAACGGGUGUGAGAGUGGAAAGUUCACACUGUGACGGUAUCUUACCAGAAAGGGACGGCUAACUACGUG